rnacentral:rRNA from 1 species
GCAUGCCUACAACAUAGAAUUAAUGCACCAGAUCUCAUUAGAACUCUGCAGUUAAGCAUGCUGAAGCUAGAGUAGUACUGGGAUGGGUGACUUCUUGGGAAGUCCUAGUAUUUUACAUGCC